rnacentral:lncRNA from 1 species
GGAAAGUGGAGAAAACACAAAAUGGAUUUUAAAAAAUCAUGCUAUGUGCACAUACCACAGGUAAUUUCACCUUUAUGUAUAAGUGGAGAAAACCAAUAAAAAAGAAAUAAAUAGAUGAUCUAAAGGAAGAUCAGUAGAGAAAGGUGAAUGGAGGGAGGAAGGAUGAGAAGAAAAGAGGGGGCAUGAACUGAAAUUUAAUUCCAAGAAUGUAUGAAUUUGUUAAGAUGAACCCAACUACUGUGUGUAACUAUAAUGCUCUAAUAAAAAAUAAAAUAAUUCUUUUUAUAAUGAUUAAAGAUUCCAUAAGGAUAUCCUCUGUAUUAUAUCUGAUAAGGUAAUUUGUAUCUAUUUUGUCAAGUCUUCCUACAAGUUUAUAAAUUUUAAUUAUCUUUUCUAAGAGUUAACUUUAUAUAUUAUUUUUUAUUUGCAAAAUAAAAAAUGUUAACACACAAUAAAAUAAAUCUGUUGCUGUGUGCCACAUGAUAAAUGAGAGAAUGAAUGAUUGCAACAAAAACAUUCCAACAAUCUUCUCCCUGAGCCUGACAGCAGGACUUAUUCAACCCAUUUUCCAAAAUAUUACAUCAUCAAACCUAUGAUUUACCCAAUUUUCCACUGAAAAUAAUUAAUUUAAAUAUAAAUGAACUAGAUAUUGUAAUUAAAAGGUCUAAAUAUUCAACAUGUGUAAAAAGCAAACAAUAUAUCACACUUUAAAUAUCAGUACACUAAUAGGUUAAAAGCAAAAGAAGAGGAAAAUAAGCAUAAGAAGUCAGAAGUAGAGCUAUUAAUAUAAAAUAAAUUUCAAGAAAAAGUAUCUUCAGGGGCUGGCAUUGUGGCUGAGCGGUAGAGUGCUUGCCUAGCACGCGUGAGACACUGGGUUCGAUCCUCAGCACCACGUAAAAUAAAUAAAAUAAAAAUA